rnacentral:misc_RNA from 1 species
CUUCGCUGUUACGCUAGAUCCUUCGCACUUCUCUGUUCGAAACGGAAUGAAUCUUUUCUUUCUUUUGGCGCCCCUCAAUAUCCCCACUAUCCUCGCGUUUGUUAGGCGUCCGCGACCGUUGCCACGCGCACCUUCUUCUAGAACAUUCGGCGGAAAGACCGUUGGGAUAUCGAUGGCUCAUUAGGCACUUCGGCGAUGUACAUUGUCGGCGAGUGCCCCACAUCUUUAUCUUCAUUAUCAGUCCAUCGGAUUUGAAGGGUGCCGGUCGUGACACUAGCGUUGUCG